GCGCUUAUCGCGACAUCUUAGUUUGUUGCUUUACAUGAUGAGGAGGUUGAUUGUGCUACUGUUGGUGACCGUUUCGAUUGCGCAUGGUGCGGCGUACAGUGUGCCGUCAACCGUCGAUUCGAUCGAUUGGACACGUGUUAAACCGGUGGAAGAGCUCGACCACUAUUGGGCCCGCUUACCCCCGGAGCUGCAGGCUUACAGGAAUGGCACUCAUGGAACUCAUCCGUCAGCUCGCAUCACCAACGGACUGGAGGCACGUGUAGGACAGUUCCCGUACCAGGCACUGCUACUGACCGAGUUCGGCAUGUUCACCAUCAUGUGCGGUGGGACAGUGUUGACGCCCAACUUUAUCCUCACCGCGGCACACUGCGUAAUGCUCGAUCAAACGACCAAAGCGACAGGUGGCAUGGCCAUCCUCGGUGCCCACAACCGGAUGGUGGUGGAACCGACCCAGCAGCGGAUACGCUUCGCAACCAGUGGCAUCAUCGUUCACCCUUCGUACACCGUCACCAACUUUCGCUUCGAUGUGGCAAUGGUGCGGCUCAGUGCGCCGCUUCGCUUCAACAGUUACGUGCAGCCGGUACGCCUUCCGGCCCGUACCGAUCAGCGGCUGUUCGAUGGCAUAAUCGGCACCGUCAGUGGCUUUGGACGGACGAAUGAUAAGGACGAGCUACUGCCGUCCAUUCUACGCUACACAAUCAACACGAUCCUGAGCAACGGUGCGUGCGCGGCGCGGUGGGGUUCGUUGCUGGUGGAACCGCACAACAUUUGCCUCUCGGGGGACGGUGGUCGAUCGGCCUGCGUUGGUGAUUCCGGUGGUCCGCUGACGAUCGAAGAGUGGGGCGGCAUCACGUAUCAAGUGGGUGUAACAUCGUUCGGGUCGGGCAACGGGUGUACGGACGGGAUGCCGACGGUGUACGGGCGCGUUAGUUACUUCUUGGAUUGGAUAAGAGCCAACUCGGACUGCAUCGCUUGCUGAGUGAGUGAGUGAUUGUUUGUGUGACUGGGCGACAUCGAGGGAUUAAAGGUGGAUUUUUGUGAUAAGGUUAUGAAAGGUGCUCGUGUUCCUUAGGUGUGCAGAUAGGAGGUAGAUAAUAGUUUGACAUGCCAGACAGUAUGAUAAAGUAGUUUGCAGAAGGUCAUAUUAGGAGUCUAUUUUAUAGUGAAAGAAUAGUUCUUAUUUGUAGCAUUUUGGAAUGUAAAUUGCAUAAAUGUAGGCGUUGUAUCUGAUCGUAUACUCAAUAAAAUAGCUAAAUUUUGUAAAAAAAAUGCCUUUUUAUUGUUUAGAGUAAUACAGUAAUCUCUCGCAAAAGCAACCGCUACCUCUCAAGCAGAAUAAACCAUUUAUUUUUAAUCAACACCUUUUCAUGGUAUCAAAUUGACCAUAAAACGAAACGCGUAAACUGUUCUCACUGCCGUCAGCUCGCAGUGGGGGGUGGGGUUGUCGCUCUAUUUCAGGUGCAAGAACCGAUAGUAGCAUCAGCUCAGCUUGCUGAAAGCAGCAGCCGGGGCAACUGUUGGCAACGCGCAUUGCUCUCGAGAAGAACUCCCAUCCCCGCUGUCAACGUCAAUGCCAGAACGCGUCUUCAUAAAUCCGUACCAAGGGCACGGCACAAAUACAAAACCACCCUCUCCCCGCAAAGCCUAAAUCGCACCAGGAGAAGGGAGGGAGGAGUGCUGUUACUAUUUUUACCUCUACGCCACUGCCUGCUCAAUCUUUCCAAAAAGGCAACAGCACGCGAACGGACAUUGAUUGUUCACCACCACACCGUGGUCGUCGUCGUCGUCGUCGUCAGUCAUCCCGAACUGUCGGAAGUCAUUGCGAGCAGUAGGCGAAGCAGUAGUACUCAAACGGUGUUUUCUUUACUGUCUGAGAUAGGUUAAUCAUCCCUCUUCCACCACUAGCAGUAGCAGCAGCAGCAGCAGCAGGAUGUAAUAAUGGCCGCUUAGUCACGCCGUGCGCCCGACCGGGAAGACACUCACAAGGUGCUCACACUCGUAUUUCUAGACUCUCUCUCGCUCUCUGUCAAGACACGCACACCACUGACAUUUCCACACUGACACUCAGCGCAUGGAUGCGUAUGCGCACUGGCACCACUGCUUUGGUGAAGCGGCUUGCGCAAGUGCACUCACCGCACCUGGGGGGGAGGAGGUCCAUUAAAACAGUCGCACCAAGAGCCGGGCGACUUCAGUCGGAAGUCAGGACUUGAGCAGCAAUCGUGUGAUAGCUACAGGGAACCAGUGUUGUGUGCCAGAGUGAGAGAAGCAGAUACAGAGCGCAAUCGAAAGCAGUGGCCGUGUGUGUAGUAGCACUAGAAAAACGUCCGUCAAACGUUUACACAUACCUUAGG